GUUGUAACUCAGAGGUAGGGUGCUCGCCUAGCAUGCAUGAGGUACUGGGUUCGAUCUUCAGCACAACA
rnacentral:tRNA from 1 species